rnacentral:piRNA from 1 species
GUUCUGCUGACUCUUAGAGCCUCUCAG